rnacentral:tRNA from 1 species
GGCGGGAUAGAGCAGCGGACAGCUCGUCCGGUUCCUAACCGGAAGGUCGGUGGUUCGAGUCCACCUCCCGCUA